rnacentral:rRNA from 1 species
UACGUAGGGGGCAAGCGUUGUCCGGAUUUAUUGGGCGUAAAGAGCGUGUAGGCUGCCUGAAAGGUCAGCUGUGAAAACUCGAGGCUCAACCUCGAGACGUCGGUUGAAACCAUCUGGCUAGAGUCCGGAAGAGGAGUGUGGAAUUCCUAGUGUAGCGGUGAAAUGCGUAGAGAUUAGGAAGAACACCAGUGGCGAAGGCGACUUACUGGACUGUAACUGACGCUGAGGCAUGAAAGCGUGGGGAGCAAACAGG